UAGCCGCUCUCCGAAGCCGGGCGUGCAUGGGAUGGCAGAGUUGGCGUGCGUGCGUGAGUCCACCAGUGUGGCCUGGGCAUGUAAGGUGUGCGGAGGGACUGGACCUUCUUCAUCAGGUGCUGAAGAUCUCUGCUUCUAGCUGUCCUUCCACUCUAUCAACGAAUAUUUCUUUUACAAAGCUAGGAGGCUCAGUAAGGUUAAAAAUAAUUCAGCUAUAUUGUGUUGAACAUAAUUGAAAUGUCAUAAACCAUCCAGAGAGCAGGAGAACCAGUUCUCUCUUGUUUCUAUUGGAGUAGUCUGUUUACAUUUCUGGUCCUGUCACUGAAGCUUGGACUGAGAGACCUGGUGAGGAAUGUUUCCUCCGGAGUUUCGACAGGCACAGCUAUUUAUCACUGCCUCAGAAGCUGCGUGGCUGCAGUGCGGAUAUCAGUGAUCCAAGAAGAUACAGGAAGAGGCUUGUGUGGGAGUCGCCUGGAGCCCUCCAUGGACAACCAGGGCCCCUCUCUUUGCCUUUCACUCUUCCUCCUACUGCUUAGAUCAAGUCUUCAGCAGACAUCAUGUGACCUUGAGGAUGGAUGUCACAUGCUGGAGGAAACAGAAGGCCGAAACCCUGAUGACUUCACAGAGCUGCCAAAACAGUUCCUGACUGUUUACUCCGGGGCUUUAACAAAGUGAUGAAAAUAAAUCCUUACAGUAUGAAAACA
rnacentral:lncRNA from 1 species